CACGUAGUUAGCCGGGGCUUCUUAGUCAGGUACCGUCAUUUUCUUCCCUGCUGAUAGAGCUUUACAUACCGAAAUACUUCUUCACUCACGCGGCGUCGCUGGAUCAGGGUUCCCCCCAUUGUCCAAUAUUCCCCACCUGCUGCCUCCCGUAGGAGUUUGGGCCGUGUCUCAGUCCCAAUGUGGCCGUUCACCCUCUCAGGCCGGCUACUGAUCGUCGCCUUGGUGGGCCGUUACCCCGCCAACCAGCUAAUCAGACGCGGGUCCAUCCUGUACCACCGGAGUUUUUCACACUGUAUCAUGCGAUACUGUGCGCUUAUGCGGUAUUAGCACCUAUUUCUAAGUGUUAUCCCCCUGUACAGGGCAGGUUCCCCACGCGUUACUCACCCGUCCGCCACUAAGAUGCCAACAUUUCCACUCUUAGCAAGCUAAUCGCUUCAAAAAUGGCAUCCCCGUUCGACUUGCAUGUGUUAAGCACGCCGCCAGCGUUCAUCCUGAGCCAGGAUCAAACU
rnacentral:rRNA from 1 species